AAGAAGGCCUUCGGGUUUUAAAGCACUUUCAGUGGUGGGGAAGGUUGUGUUGUUAAUAGCUGCAUUAUUGGACGUUAGCGACAGAAGAAGCGCCGGCUAACUCCGUGCCAGCAGCCGCGGUAAUACGGAGGGUGCGAGCGUUAAUCGGAAUUACUGGGCGUAAAGCGCAUGCAGGUGGUUUGUUAAGUCAGAUGUGAAAGCCCGGGGCUCAACCUCGGAAUAGCAUUUGAAACUGGCAGACUAGAGUACUGUAGAGGGGGGUAGAAUUUCAGGUGUAGCGGUGAAAUGCGUAGAGAUCUGAAGGAAUACCGGUGGCGAAGGCGGCCCCCUGGACAGAUACUGACACUCAGAUGCGAAAGCGUGGGGAGCAAACAGGAUUAGAUACCCUGGUAGUCCACGCCGUAAACGAUGUCUACUUGGAGGUUGUGGCCUUGAGCCGUGGCUUUCGGAGCUAACGCGUUAAGUAGACCGCCUGGGGAGUACGGUCGCAAGAUUAAAACUCAAAUGAAUUGACGGGGGCCCGCACAAGCGGUGGAGCAUGUGGUUUAAUUCGAUGCAACGCGAAGAACCUUACCUACUCUUGACAUCCAGAGAACUUUCCAGAGAUGGAUUGGUGCCUUCGGGAACUCUGAGACAGGUGCUGCAUGGCUGUCGUCAGCUCGUGUUGUGAAAUGUUGGGUUAAGUCCCGCAACGAGCGCAACCCUUAUCCUUGUUUGCCAGCGAGUAAUGUCGGGAACUCCAGGGAGACUGCCGGUGAUAAACCGGAGGAAGGUGGGGACGACGUCAAGUCAUCAUGGCCCUUACGAGUAGGGCUACACACGUGCUACAAUGGCGCAUACAGAGGGCAGCAAGCUAGCGAUAGUGAGCGAAUCCCAAAAAGUGCGUCGUAGUCCGGAUUGGAGUCUGCAACUCGACUCCAUGAAGUCGGAAUCGCUAGUAAUCGUGGAUCAGAAUGCCACGGUGAAUACGUUCCCGGGCCUUGUACACACCGCCCGUCACACCAUGGGAGUGGGCUGCAAAAGAAGUAGGUAGUUUAACCUUCGGGAGGACGC
rnacentral:rRNA from 1 species